GGAAUCAACGCUGGCGGCGUGCCUCAGACAUGCAAGUCGAACGCGAAAGUCUCCUUCGGGGGGCAAGUAGAGUGGCGCACGGGUGAGUAACACGUAGGUAAUCUACCUUUGGAUGGGGAAUAACAACCGGAAACGGUUGCUAAUACCGCAUAAUGCAGCGGCACCUAAUGGUGACAGUUGUUAAAGCGGGGGAUCGAAAGACCGUCGCGUCUGAAGAGGAGCCUGGCGGCGGAUUAGCUAGUUGGUAGGGUAACGGCCUACCAAGGCUACGAUCCGUA
rnacentral:rRNA from 1 species